CAUCGUGAGGUGGAAUCUGAAGGAAGGUGCAGGCAAAACCACGGGCAUAUGCCGAAUGAGGCAUCUCUGGAUGGAUGAGGGUGCAUAACAGACCGAAAUCCAACACUGCACGGAAUCUAUAGAUGUAGAUGGCAUAGGCUAUAUGGGGUGAAAGAUACG
rnacentral:ncRNA from 1 species